rnacentral:rRNA from 1 species
AGAGUUUGAUCCUGGCUCAGGAUGAACGCUGGCGGCGUGCCUAAUACAUGCAAGUAGAACGCUGAAGCUUGGUGCUUGCACCGAGCGGAUGAGUUGCGAACGGGUGAGUAACGCGUAGGUAACCUGCCUGGUAGCGGGGGAUAACUAUUGGAAACGAUAGCUAAUACCGCAUAAUAUUAAUUAUUGCAUGAUAAUUGAUUGAAAGAUGCAAGCGCAUCACUAGUAGAUGGACCUGCGUUGUAUUAGCUAGUUGGUAAGGUAAGAGCUUACCAAGGCGACGAUACAUAGCCGACCUGAGAGGGUGAUCGGCCACACUGGGACUGAGACACGGCCCAGACUCCUACGGGAGGCAGCAGUAGGGAAUCUUCGGCAAUGGACGAAAGUCUGACCGAGCAACGCCGCGUGAGUGAAGAAGGUUUUCGGAUCGUAAAGCUCUGUUGUAAGUCAAGAACGUGUGUGAGAGUGGAAAGUUCACACAGUGACGGUAGCUUACCAGAAAGGGACGGCUAACUACAUGCCAGCAGCCGCGGUAAUACGUAGGUCCCGAGCGUUGUCCGGAUUUAUUGGGCGUAAAGGGAGCGCAGGCGGUCAGGAAAGUCUGGAGUAAAAGGCUAUGGCUCAACCAUAGUGUGCUCUGGAAACUGUCUGACUUGAGUGCAGAAGGGGAGAGUGGAAUUCCAUGUGUAGCGGUGAAAUGCGUAGAUAUAUGGAGGAACACCAGUGGCGAAAGCGGCUCUCUGGUCUGUCACUGACGCUGAGGCUCGAAAGCGUGGGUAGCGAACAGGAUUAGAUACCCUGGUAGUCCACGCCGUAAACGAUGAGUGCUAGGUGUUAGGCCCUUUCCGGGGCUUAGUGCCGGAGCUAACGCAAUAAGCACUCCGCCUGGGAGUACGACCGCAAGGUUGAAACUCAAGGAAUUGACGGGGGCCCGCACAGCGGUGGAGCAUGUGGUUUAAUUCGAAGCAACGCGAAGACCUUACCAGGUCUUGACAUCCCGAUGCUUAUUCUUAAAGAGAUAGGAGAGGU